GAUGAACGCUGGCGGCGUGCCUAAUACAUGCAAGUCGAGCGAACAGACGAGGAGCUUGCUCCUCUGACGUUAGCGGCGGACGGGUGAGUAACACGUGGAUAACCUACCUAUAAGACUGGGAUAACUUCGGGAAACCGGAGCUAAUACCGGAUAAUAUAUUGAACCGCAUGGUUCAAUAGUGAAAGACGGUUUUGCUGUCACUUAUAGAUGGAUCCGCGCCGCAUUAGCUAGUUGGUAAGGUAACGGCUUACCAAGGCGACGAUGCGUAGCCGACCUGAGAGGGUGAUCGGCCACACUGGAACUGAGCCACGGUCCAGACUCCUACGGGAGGCAGCAGUGGGGAAUCUUCCGCAAUGGGCGAAAGCCUGACGGAGCAACGCCGCGUGAGUGAUGAAGGGCUUCGGAUCGUAAAACUCUGUUAUUAGGGAAGAACAAAUGUGAAAGUAACUAUGCACGUCUGGACGGUACCUAAUCAGAAAGCCACGGCUAACUACGU
rnacentral:rRNA from 1 species